rnacentral:rRNA from 1 species
AAAGCGUAACAAAGCAGAGACUGACCCUUGUACCUUUUGCAUCAUGAUUUAGCCAGUCAUCCUGAGCAAAGUGUACUUUAGUUCAAACCCCCGAAACUAAGUGAGCUACCCCGAGACAGCCUAUUAUUUUAGGGCCAACCCGUCUCUGUGGCAAAAGAGUGGGAAGAUCUCCGGGUAGAGGUGACAAACCUACCGAACCUAGUUAUAGCUGGUUGCCUAAGAAAUGGAUAGAAGUUCAGCCUCGCACUCCUUAUUUCACAACCUAUUAUUAUUUACAUGAACAAAAGAAAUAUGCGAGAGUUAUUCAAAGGGGGUACAGCCCCUUUGAAACAGGACACAACCUCACCAGGAGGUUAAAGAUUAUAUUAAAUAAGAUAAAUCGCUUUAAUGGGCCUAAAAGCAGCCAUUUAUGUAGAAAGCGUUAAAGCUCUGGCGAAACAUAAAUCUAUUAUCCAAAUAUUAUUUCUAAAACCCCUAAUUCUAUUAGGCCACUCCAUGCUUCCAUGGAAGAAAUACUGCUAAAAUGAGUAAUAAGAAAGAAUUCCUUUCUCCCCGCCCAUGUGUAUACUAGAUCGGACCAACCACUAGUAAUUACCGAACCCAAUUAAAGAGGGAACUGUGACAAUCAUAAAUAACAAGAAACACUCACAUAAUACCAUCGUUAAUCCCACACAGGAGGGCAACUACGGGAAAGACUAAAAGAAGAGGAAGGAACUCGGCAAACAUAAGCCUCGCCUGUUUACCAAAAACAUCGCCUCCUGCAAAACACUACGUAUAGGAGGUCUUGCCUGCCCAGUGACAAGUUAAACGGCCGCGGUAUUUUGACCGUGCGAAGGUAGCGCAAUCACUUGUCUUUUAAAUGAAGACCUGUAUGAAUGGUGGAACGAGGCUUAACUGUCUCCCCUUCAAGUCAAUGAAAUGAUCUGCCCGUGCAAAGCGACAAAAUUUAUUAAUUAA